rnacentral:rRNA from 1 species
GACGAACGCUGGCGGCGUGCUUAACACAUGCAAGUCGAACGGAAAGGCCCUGCUUUUGUGGGGUGCUCGAGUGGCGAACGGGUGAGUAACACGUGAGUAACCUGCCCUUGACUUUGGGAUAACUUCAGGAAACUGGGGCUAAUACCGGAUAGGAGCUCCUGCUGCAUGGUGGGGGUUGGAAAGUUUCGGCGGUUGGGGAUGGACUCGCGGCUUAUCAGCUUGUUGGUGGGGUAGUGGCUUACCAAGGCUUUGACGGGUAGCCGGCCUGAGAGGGUGACCGGCCACAUUGGGACUGAGAUACGGCACAGACUCCUACGGGAGGCAGAAGUGGGGAAUAUUGCACAAUGGGCGGAAGCCUGAUGCAGCAACGCCGCGUGCGGGAUGACGGCCUUCGGGUUGUAAACCGCUUUCGCCUGUGACGAAGCGUGAGUGACGGUAAUGGGUAAAGAAGCACCGGCUAACUACGUG